UCCACCGGUGCGCAAUGUAAGCCUGUCAACUUUUUAUUAUAAGAAGUCAUCACUCAUUUCAGUGAAGAUUAAAAGUAUGACUAAAUUGAGAAAAUCCUCUUAGCCAUUCGGAAUUUUAAUAGAGGAGAAAAGGGGCAGGUGAGAUGGGUGCUCAUGAAGUACCUCAUCCGAGGCCCUUGGGUUGGAAGGCGUGGAUGCAGAGAACCUGCUUUUCCCCACCUCCCUCUACAGGAAAAUAACAUAUCUGUACUCAAACCAAUAAAGAAUAUGCUGUAGAUAAAUUCAUACCAUACCAAUGGAGCGUAAGGAUUCCAUUAAUGCUUUAGUGAUAUUAUCAAGCAAGAAAAAGGCAAAAUGCAUCCACGACUCUUACUCUGCUGGGUCUGUAAUGAAGCAAUGUUGUAGCAGCUGCUAUAGUUUUU